GUCUAAGUCCAGGAGGGACUUGAGCAAAAUCAGGUGUUACCGGUGUGAGGAGUUGGGGCAUCUAGCCAGAGAUUGCCCUCAAUUGAAAAAUCGAACGGUGGCUGCUGUAGCGACGGCCGGCAGCGAUUCAGAUGGAGAUAUCCUGGAGAUAUCUGACGAGGUAUCUACUUCUUCCCAGCAGUAGAUAUUAGAUUCUGCAUGCCUCUAUCAUGUGUGUUGCAGAGAGGAGCAGUUUGACUCCCUGGAGAAUAGUGAGGGCACUGUAUAUCUGCCGGAUGGAUCGAGCUGUGCGAUCAGAGGCAUUGGGAUGG
rnacentral:lncRNA from 1 species